UAAACAUGGACAAUUUUAUGACCCUGAUCAAUCUUUGUACGAAUUAGUUGUAUCCGAAUUCUACCUCUACUUUAAAUAAGGAAAUGCAUUAGCAUUUUCUCGAGGGUAAACCUACUGACAAACAUCCAGAUCCAGUACCUGCUUUAUCAGUCGGAAGUAAAUUAACACCUAUCAGACCUCCGCCAAAGAGACGGCCUGAUUCAGAGCCACCAAGAAAGCGGAGAAAUGUGCUUUCAGAAAUUAACAACAGCAUCACUGAUGAAAAUGUCUACAGGGGUCAGUCAACUGAAACGCAAACUGGAACCAUUCAGAAAGAAGUAUCACCACUAGACAUGCUGGCUUUAGCUGCUGAUAACCAGACCCUCCAAAGACAGCUUGACAUUGCAAGAUAACAGUCAUCACAACAGAUUCUACAUAAUGAAGAGCUUAGAAGAGAAAAUAGCACAUUGA